UACGUAGGUGGCAAGCGUUGUCCGGAUUUACUGGCGUAAAGAGCGCGCAGGCGGUCGAGUAAGUCGAAUGUGAAAGCCCCCGGCUUAACUGGGGAGGGUCAUUCGAUACUGUUCGACUUGAAGGCAGGAGAGGGCAGCAGAAGUUCCGGUGUCAGUGGUGAAAUGCGUAGAUAUCGGGCGAGGAAUACCAGUGGCGAAGGCGGCUGCCUGGCCU
rnacentral:rRNA from 1 species